GAUUAACGCUGGCGGCGUGCCUAACACAUGCAAGUCGAGCGGCAGCGAGUUUUACACUGAAUUCUGGAAGCUUCUAGUUGAAAGAGAAGAUUUAUUCAAGAAUUUUGUGUAAAAUGUCGGCGAGCGGCGGACGGCUGAGUAACGCGUGGGAACGUACCCCAAAGUGAGGGAUAACGCAUCGAAAGGUGUGCUAAUACCGCAUAUGGUCUUCGGAUUAAAGCCUUCGGGCGCUUUGGGAACGGCCUGCGUAAGAUUAGAUAGUUGGUGGGGUAAUGGCCUACCAAGUCGACGAUCUUUAACUGGUGUGAGAGGGUGAUCAGUCAGACUGGAACUGAGACACGGUCCAGACUCCUACGGGAGGCAGCAGUGAGGAAUCUUCCACAAUGGGCGAAAGCCUGAUGGAGCAACGCCGCGUGCAGGAUGAAGGCCUUCGGGUUGUAAACUGCUUUUAUAAGUGAGGAUUAUGACAGUAACUUAUGAAUAAGGAUCGGCUAACUACGUG
rnacentral:rRNA from 1 species